rnacentral:rRNA from 1 species
GACAGAGGGGGCAAGCGUUGCUCGGAAUUACUGGGCGUAAAGGGCGCGUAGGCGGGAUGGCAAGUCGGUUGUGAAAUCCUUCGGCUCAACCGAAGAACGUCGAUCGAUACUGCCAUUCUUGAGGGAUGCAGAGGAGACUGGAAUUCCCGGUGUAGCGGUGAAAUGUGUAGAGAUCGGGAGGAACACCGGUGGCGAAGGCGGGUCUCUGGGCAUCUCCUGACGCUGAGGCGCGAAAGCGUGGGGAGCAAACAGGG